GGUAUCUUUAAUACUGCAAAGGCACUUGAUCCUAUCUGAUUUUGGAAGUUAAGUAAGGGCAAAUUUGGUUAGUAGUUGGAAAGGGGACCCACAGAGAAUACCAAGUACAACAGGCUACCU
rnacentral:rRNA from 11 species